AGUGAACGCCGGCGGUAGGCCUAACACAUGCAAGUCGAACGGCAGCACAGUAAGAGCUUGCUCUUACGGGUGGCGAGUGGCGGACGGGUGAGGAAUACAUCGGAAUCUACUUUUUCGUGGGGGAUAACGUAGGGAAACUUACGCUAAUACCGCAUACGACCUACGGGUGAAAGCAGGGGAUCUUCGGACCUUGCGCGAUUGAAUGAGCCGAUGUCGGAUUAGCUAGUUGGCGGGGUAAAGGCCCACCAAGGCGACGAUCCGUAGCUGGUCUGAGAGGAUGAUCCGCCACACUGGAACUGAGACACGGUCCAGACUCCUACGGGAGGCAGCAGUGGGGAAUAUUGGACAAUGGGCGCAAGCCUGAUCCAGCCAUACCGCGUGGGUGAAGAAGGCCUUCGGGUUGUAAAGCCCUUUUGUUGGGAAAGAAAAGCAGCAGGUUAAUACCCCGCUGUUCUGACGGUACCCAAAGAAUAAGCACCGGCUAACUUCGUA
rnacentral:rRNA from 1 species